rnacentral:lncRNA from 1 species
ACAUAUCAUCUGAUAUUAUCGUUUUUCAAAUGGUUUACAAAGCAAGACAAAUUACAAGGUUCAUGACUGACUUCAUGAAUCCCAUUUUCACAAAACCUAUGUAUCUCACAGGCAUUUUUAUGCUGACGUACCUACUUUCACAUGUGUUUUCAGGAGCUAUUCCAUAGGACGAUGAUCACGAUUCUAGGGCGGACCUGUGCCUUAGAGACUAAAAACGAAGCUAGACUAGUUUAAUCAUGUUAUAAACUUUGUAUUUUCCUGUUUUGAAACAAUGGAACACUCUUGUCAAUAAAUAAAAUGUAACUUUAAUUUCCAUGGUUGUAUAACAAUUAAUUCUGUCCACGACACUCCCCGGCGUUUCCGCCGCGGUUGCAUGUUAUACGCGGCCGGGGUGUGACAGAAGAGUUGGUAUCAGAGCCAU